rnacentral:rRNA from 1 species
GUGAGGAAUCUUCCACAAUGGGCGAAAGCCUGAUGGAGCAACGCCGCGUGCAGGAUGAAGGCCUUCGGGUUGUAAACUGCUUUUAUAAGUGAGGAAUAUGACGGUAACUUAUGAAUAAGGAUCGGCUAACUACGUGCCAGCAGCCGCGGUCAUACGUAGGAUCCGAGCGUUAUCCGGAGUGACUGGGCGUAAAGAGUUGCGUAGGCGGUUUGUUAAGCGAAUAGUGAAACCUGGUGGCUCAACCAUACAGACUAUUAUUCGAACUGGCAAACUCGAGAGUGGUAGAGGUCACUGGAAUUUCUUGUGUAGGAGUGAAAUCCGUAGAUAUAAGAAGGAACACCGAUGGCGUAGGCAGGUGACUAGACCAUUUCUGACGCUAAGGCACGAAAGCGUGGGGAGCGAACCGGAUUAGAUACCCUAGUAGUCC